UACGUAGGAUGCAAGCGUUGUCCGGAAUUAUUGGGCGUAAAGCGCACGUAGGCGGCUUCUUAAGUUUGGUCUUAAAGACCGGGGCUCAACCCCGGGAAUGGACUGAAUACUGGGAGGCUGGAGGAUGUCAGAGGAAAGUGGAAUUCCCAGUGUAGCGGUGAAAUGCGUAGAUAUUGGGAGGAACACCGGUGGCGAAGGCGGCUCUCUGGGCCUUACCUGACGCUGUGGAGCGAAAGCGUGGGUAGCGAACAGG
rnacentral:rRNA from 1 species